AGAACUGCCCUCUGGGAAAGGAUUGCGUUACCAUGGAAUGUAAUACUUUUACUUUGAAGAAUUAUUCAGACGUUCACUUUUCCUUGGAGGGAGAUGUGCAUUUCAGAAAUCUAAAAGACUACGCAUCAAAUAUGCCUUUCCUGAAUCAAUUUACUGGAGACAAUCGAGAGGUCCAUUUUACAAGCUUUAUACAAAUUGACUACGAUGCUGGUAGAUACAUGCUGGAUGAGAAGAAGAUGCAGAUUGACAAGAAACUAAAGGCUAAUGUUCUUGUUGAGUUCACUGUGCCCCAAAAUAGACCACUUAUCAUUGGAACUGGAGUAGUGCUGGGAAUUUUGCUUCUUUUCUUGAUUGCAUUCAUUAUGUACAAGGUGAGAUUUUUAGUCUUUGGUCUGAAGAAUUUAAUUGAUUUUAUUGUGUUUGUUCUAACUGCUUUUUGUGCUUGAAGUGUGGCUGCUUCAAGAGGAAAACCCUUGAGGAUUAUCAAAACGAAGAAGACAAUCUCUCUGCUCAGAAUGGGUGUGCAUCUGAUUUGUCUCAUGAUAAAGCUGAACAAGUUGAGGAGGAAAAAGCUUUAAAUAAAGAUGAAGAGAAAGGCAGCAUCUCUGCUGCUUUGGAAUGAGACCAAGAGGCGGCGAUCAUUUGGGCUGAACUAAUUCAAACAUGAAGGAUGUUGGCCAUACAAUCCACCAAUUAAAGGGAAAUUAGAAUGAAAAACGUCCCGACUUGA